AUGGGUGUCUGAUCUCACAGGUCCAGUGCUGUAUGAAACCAAGCUAAUUAACAAUGAUAUGAAAAGAAGGAAUUGAAAGAGAGCAGAAUUGGAACAGUAUAUCCGACUAGACCAUAUCUAGAGACAGUCACCAAGGCUUCACUAUUUGAAAUAUUAACAGCUUAGAAAAAUUCAGCAAGUUUGAAUGAGUGAGGGUCUGCUUCUUCUUACCCAUCCCCAGCUCUCUAAGCUCAACAAGAGUUGGAGCUGGCAAGAGAUUUCCAGGCACAGGGAAGACUAUCACCAGGGAAAUGGAGGCCCUGGAAUUUGGUGACAUCUUGGGCAAAGUUCUGGCCACCCUCCCUAGUUACAGCUCUGCUUUUCACUAAUAACAGGAAGAGACUCCUUCUCUCCAGUCACUGCAGGAUUGAAUGAUCCUGUAAGGCCAUUCUAGGUAUGGCCAUCCUGCAAAUACUUCUGCUCAUCUCUUAUGUCAACACUACAUUCUCAAAUCUACAUUUCUAAUGAGAGCUCCAAAGACCUCUGCUUAUUGUCCAACCUCUAUUUAACAGACUUUUCAAAACUCUC